rnacentral:siRNA from 1 species
ACCGCAUCAUAUUUUAUCCGCA